GACGAACGCUGGCGGCGUGCCUAAUACAUGCAAGUCGAGCGGACAGAAGGGAGCUUGCUCCCGGAAGUUAGCGGCGGACGGGUGAGUAACACGUGGGCAACCUACCCUGUAGAUCGGGAUAACAUCGAGAAAUCGGUGCUAAUACCGGAUAAUCAUUUGAAGUGCAUGCUUCGAAUGUAAAAGAUGGCUCCGGCUAUCACUACGGGAUGGGCCCGCGGCGCAUUGGCUGGUUGGUAAGGUAAUGGCUUACCAAGGCAACGAUGCGUAGCCGACCUGGGAGGGUGAUCGGCGACACUGGGACUGAGACACGGCCCAGACUCCUACGGGAGGCAGCAGUAGGGAAUCUUCCGCAAUGGACGAAAGUCUGACGGAGCAACGCCGCGUGAGUGAUGAAGGUUUUCGGAUCGUAAAGCUCUGUUGUUAGGGAAGAACAAGUGCCGUUUGAAUAAGGCGGCACCUUGACGGUACCUAACCAGAAAGCCACGGCUAACUACGUGCCAGCCGCCGCGGUAAAAC
rnacentral:rRNA from 1 species